UGAUAGGUAAAUAAAAAAAAA
rnacentral:piRNA from 1 species